rnacentral:rRNA from 1 species
GACGAACGCUGGCGGCGUGCUUAACACAUGCAAGUCGAACGGAAAGGCCCUGCUUUUGUGGGGUGCUCGAGUGGCGAACGGGUGAGUAACACGUGAGUAACCUGCCCUUGACUUUGGGAUAACUUCAGGAAACUGGGGCUAAUACCGGAUAGGAGCUCCUGCUGCAUGGUGGGGGUUGGAAAGUUUCGGCGGUUGGGGAUGGACUCGCGGCUUAUCAGCUUGUUGGUGGGGUAGUGGCUUACCAAGGCUUUGACGGGUAGCCGGCCUGAGAGGGUGACCGGCCACAUUGGGACUGAGAUACGGCCCAGACUCCUACGGGAGGCAGCAGUGGGGAAUAUUGCACAAUGGGCGGAAGCCUGAUGCAGCAACGCCGCGUGCGGGAUGACGGCCUUCGGGUUGUAAACCGCUUUCGCCUGUGACGAAGCGUGAGUGACGGUAAUGGGUAAAGAAGCACCGGCUAACUACGUGCCAGCAGCCGCGGUGAUACGUAGGGUGCGAGCGUUGUCCGGAUUUAUUGGGCGUAAAGGGCUCGUAGGUGGUUGAUCGCGUCGGAAGUGUAAUCUUGGGGCUUAACCCUGAGCGUGCUUUCGAUACGGGUUGACUUGAGGAAGGUAGGGAAGAAUGGAAUUCCUGGUGGAGCGGUGGAAUGCGCAGAUAUCAGGAGGAACACCAGUGGCGAAGGCGGUUCUCUGGGCCUUUCCUGACGCUGAGGAGCGAAAGCGUGGGGAGCGAACAGGCUUAGAUACCCUGGUAGUCCACGCUGUAAACGGUGGGUACUAGGUGUGGGGUCCAUUCCACGGGUUCCGUGCCGUAGCUAACGCUUUAAGUACCCCGCCUGGGGAGUACGGCCGCAAGGCUAAAACUCAAAGGAAUUGACGGGGCCCCGCACAAGCGGCGGAGCAUGCGGAUUAAUUCGAUGCAACGCGUAGAACCUUACCUGGGUUUGACAUGGAUCGGGAGUGCUCAGAGAUGGGUGUGCCUCUUUUGGGGUCGGUUCACAGGUGGUGCAUGGCUGUCGUCAGCUCGUGUCGUGAGAUGUUGGGUUAAGUCCCGCAACGAGCGCAACCCUUGUUCACUGUUGCCAGCACGUUAUGGUGGGGACUCAGUGGAGACCGCCGGGGUCAACUCGGAGGAAGGUGGGGAUGACGUCAAGUCAUCAUGCCCCUUAUGUCCAGGGCCUCACGCAUGCUACAAUGGCUGGUACAGAGAGUGGCGAGCCUGUGAGGGUGAGCGAAUCUCGGAAAGCCGGUCUCAGUUCGGAUUGGGGUCUGCAACUCGACCUCAUGAAGUCGGAGUCGCUAGUAAUCGCAGAUCAGCAACGCUGCGGUGAAUACGUUCCCGGGGCU